UACAGAGGGGGCAAGCGUUGCUCGGAAUUACUGGGCGUAAAGGGCGCGUAGGCGGUCCGGCAAGUCGGUUGUGAAAUCCUCCGGCUCAACCGGAGAACGUCGAUCGAUACUGCCGUUCUUGAGGGUUGCAGAGGAGACUGGAAUUCCCGGUGUAGCGGUGAAAUGUGUAGAGAUCGGGAGGAACACCGGUGGCGAAGGCGGGUCUCUGGGCAAUUACUGACGCUGAGGCGCGAAAGCGUGGGGAGCAAACGGG
rnacentral:rRNA from 1 species